rnacentral:rRNA from 1 species
CCUACGGGAGGCAUCAGUGAGGAAUAUUUGUCCCUGGGCUUACGCCUGAACCAGCCAAGUCGCGUGAGGGAAGACUGCCCUAUUGGUUGUAAACCUCUUUUGUCAGGGAGCAAUUGGCGCUACGUGUAGCGUUAUCGAGAGUACCUGAAGAAAAAGCAUCGGCUAACUCCGUGCCAGCAGCCGCGGUAAUACGGAGGAUGCGAGCGUUAUCCGGAUUUAUUGGGUUUAAAGGGUGCGUAGGCGGAAUGCCAAGUCAGCGGUAAAAGCGCGGGGCUCAACCUCGCUCCGCCGUUGAAACUGGCGUUCUUGAGUGGGCGAGAAGUAUGCGGAAUGCGUGGUGUAGCGGUGAAAUGCAUAGAGAUCACGCAGAACUCCGAUUGCGAAGGCAGCAUACCGGCGCCCAACUGACGCUGAAGCACGAAAGCGUGGGUAUCGAACAGGAUUAGAUACCCUUGUAGUC